UCAUAGAGGGAGAAGAGUCUGUCCUGUCUGCUGACUGGACCACAUGUUCUCAGGGGCUGUUUGCUAUUCAGCCUGGCCCUCAUUGGCUGUUUGCUAUUCACCCUGGCCCUCAUUGGCUGGCAGUCUAUUCACCCUGGCCCUCAUUGGCUGGCAGUCUAUUCACCCUGGCCCUCAUUGGCUGGCUGUCUAUUCACCCUGGCUCUCAGGUAGUUUUAGUGGUUAGAGGCAGGUAGCCUAGGUGUUAGCCUAGUGGUUAGAGCAGGUAGCCUAGUGGUUAGAGCAGGUAUCCUAGUGGUUAGAGCAGGUAGCCUAGUGGUUAGAGCAGGUAGCCUAGUGGUUAGAGCAGGUAGUCUAGUGGUUAGAGCAGGUAGUCUAGUGGUUAGAGCAGGUAGCCCAGUGGUUAGAGCAGGUAGCCCAGUGGUUAGAGCAGGUAGCCUAGUGGUUAGAGCAGGUAGCCUAGUGGUUCGAGCAGGUAGCCUAGUGGUUAGAGCAGGUAGCCCAGUGGUUAGAGCAGGUAGUCUAGUGGUUAGAGCAGGUAGCCUAGUGGUUAGAGCAGGUAGCCUAGUGGUUAGAGCAGGUAGCCUGGUGGUUAGAGCAGGUAGUCUAGUGGUUAGAGCAGGUAGCCUAGUGGUUAGAGCAGGUAGCCCAGUGGUUAGAGCAGGUAGCCUAGUGGUUAGAGCAGGUAGCCUAGUGGUUAGAGCAGGUAGCCUAGUGGUUAGAGCAGGUAGUCUAGUGGUUAGAGCAGGUAGCCUAGUGGUUAGAGCAGGUAGCCUAGUGGUUAGAGCAGGUAGCCUAGUGGUUAGAGCAGGUAGCCUAGUGGUUAGAGCAGGUAGUCUAGUGGUUAGAGCAGGUAGCCUAGUGGUUAGAGCAGGUAGCCUAGUGGUUAGAGCAGGUAGUCUAGUGGUUAGAGCAGGUAGUCUAGUGGUUAGAGCAGGUAGCCUAGUGGUUAGAGCAGGUAGCCUAGUGGUUAGAGCAGGUAGUCUAGUGGUUAGAGCAGGUAGCCUAGUGGUUAGAGCAGGUAGCCUAGUGGUUAGAGCAGGUAGCCCAGUGGUUAGAGCAGGUAGCCCAGUGGUUAGAGCAGGUAGCCUAGUGGUUAGAGCAGGUAGCCCAGUGGUUAGAGCAG